rnacentral:rRNA from 1 species
UACGAAGGGUGCAAGCGUUAAUCGGAAUUACUGGGCGUAAAGGGUGCGUAGGCGGUUGUUUAAGUCUGUCGUGAAAUCCCCGGGCUCAACCUGGGAAUGGCGAUGGAUACUGGGCAGCUAGAGUGUGUCAGAGGAUGGUGGAAUUCCCGGUGUAGCGGUGAAAUGCGUAGAGAUCGGGAGGAACAUCAGUGGCGAUGGCGGCCAUCUGGGACAACACUGACGCUGAAGCACGAAAGCGUGGGGAGCAAACAGG